GUCUUACCAUGCAGUCGAACGAUGAAGCCGCUUCGGUGGUGGAUUAGUGGCGAACGGGUGAGUAACACGUGGGCAAUCUGCCCUGCACUCUGGGACAAGCCCUGGAAACGGGGUCUAAUACCGGAUACGACACGGGAUCGCAUGGUCUCCGUGUGGAAAGCUCCGGCGGUGCAGGAUGAGCCCGCGGCCUAUCAGCUUGUUGGUGGGGUAAUGGCCUACCAAGGCGACGACGGGUAGCCGGCCUGAGAGGGCGACCGGCCACACUGGGACUGAGACACGGCCCAGACUCCUACGGGAGGCAGCAGUGGGGAAUAUUGCACAAUGGGCGCAAGCCUGAUGCAGCGACGCCGCGUGAGGGAUGACGGCCUUCGGGUUGUAAACCUCUUUCAGCAGGGAAGAAGCGCAAGUGACGGUACCUGCAGAAGAAGCGCCGGCUAACUACGUGCCAGCAGCCGCGGUAAUACGUAGGGCGCAAGCGUUGUCCGGAAUUAUUGGGCGUAAAGAGCUCGUAGGCGGCUUGUCGCGUCGGAUGUGAAAGCCCGGGGCUUAACCCCGGGUCUGCAUUCGAUACGGGCAGGCUAGAGUUCGGUAGGGGAGAUCGGAAUUCCUGGUGUAGCGGUGAAAUGCGCAGAUAUCAGGAGGAACACCGGUGGCGAAGGCGGAUCUCUGGGCCGAUACUGACGCUGAGGAGCGAAAGCGUGGGGAGCGAACAGGAUUAGAUACCCUGGUAGUCCACGCCGUAAACGUUGGGAACUAGGUGUGGGCGACAUUCCACGUCGUCCGUGCCGCAGCU
rnacentral:rRNA from 1 species